GAUAAACGCUGGCGGCGCGCCUAACACAUGCAAGUCGAACGAUUAAAGCACCUUCGGGUGUGUAUAAAGUGGCGAACGGCUGAGUAACACGUGGGCAACCUGCCCCUUUCAUUGGGAUAGCCACGGGAAACCGUGGAUAAUACCGAAUACUUCGAGACUUCCGCAUGGAAGACUCGAGAAAGCUCCGGCGGAGAGGGAUGGGCCCGCGGCCUGUUAGCUUGUUGGUGGGGUAACGGCCUACCAAGGCAAUGAUGGGUAGCUGGGUUGAGAGACCGACCAGCCAGAUUGGGACUGAGACACGGCCCAGACUCCUACGGGAGGCAGCAGUGGGGAAUCUUGCACAAUGGGCGAAAGCCUGAUGCAGCGACGCCGCGUGCGGGAUGAAGGCCUUCGGGUUGUAAACCGCUUUCAGCAGGGACGAGGCGAAAGUGACGGUACCUGCAGAAGAAGCCCCGGCUAACUACGUG
rnacentral:rRNA from 1 species